GUGAACGCUGGCGGUAGGCCUAACACAUGCCAGUCGAACGGCAGCACAGUAAGAGCUUGCUCUUACGGGUGGCGAGUGGCGGACGGGUGAGGAAUACAUCGGAAUCUACUUUUUCGUGGGGGAUAACGUAGGGAAACUUACGCUAAUACCGCAUACGACCUACGGGUGAAAGCAGGGGAUCUUCGGACCUUGCGCGAUUGAAUGAGCCGAUGUCGGAUUAGCUAGUUGGCGGGGUAAAGGCCCACCAAGGCGACGAUCCGUAGCUGGUCUGAGAGGAUGAUCAGCCACACUGGAACUGAGACACGAUCCAGACUCCUACGGGAGGCAGCAGUGGGGAAUAUUGGACAAUGGGCGCAAGCCUGAUCCAGCCAUACCGCGUGGGUGAAGAAGGCCUUCGGGUUGUAAAGCCCUUUUGUUGGGAAAGAAAAGCAGCAGGUUAAUACCCCGCUGUUCUGACGGUACCCAAAGAAUAAGCACCGGCUAACUUCGUG
rnacentral:rRNA from 1 species